CUGAAAACUAAGCCGAAUCUCCGCCCACGCCGUACCCACUCCGGGACGGCCGGGCGGGGAGCCGGGGAACCACCACAGACCAUCUGGGGUGAAUCCUCCGCGAGAGCGCCGCACGAUCCUCACCGGUCCGUGCGGCGUGGGCCGGGGGAGGGAAGCUUCCGUACUCCCAACCCGCCAGCUAACCCGGUAGGCACACAGGAAGAUUUG
rnacentral:sRNA from 2 species